rnacentral:tRNA from 2 species
GAGGUUUUAGCUUAAUUAAAGUGUCUGAGUUGCAGUCAGGUGAUGCAAGUUAGAGUUUUGCAGGCCUUC